rfam:Jatropha curcas cultivar GZQX0401 scaffold5_148, whole genome shotgun sequence.
AGGCUGUGAUGACGCCUGUGCUCUUUGUGAUAGAUGGGGUCUAUCUAGCUAUCUGAUCUGAUCAAUCAGAUGGAAUGGAGCAUGUCUGAGCUC